GAUGACAGUGUUGUUAAGAAAAGGCUAAGCUUGAGAGCAGGCGCAUUAUUUUCAUUUUAUUUGCGAUUUUCAGAAAUCGUUAACAUUGCGUUAUGCUAAUGAGCCUGAGGCUUUAUUCACGAUCCCGGAUCCGGGAUGGGGAGUAUCAAGAGGUUAAAAUUAAAUAUAGUAAGGCAUAGAUAAGUGAUUAAAUAUCAUAGCUAAGUAACGGUAAGGAUGUUUAGAAAUUCCUCAAAAGAAGUGGCGGAAACUAGCAGGAGAUUACCGUUAUAGGAGAACAAAGAGAAUGGAAGGGAGGCGUCCAAAAUCUGACUCAGACAAAGAACCUGAAUGGAAGCUGAUAUUAUGAAUAUAGCCAGGAAGGGUUUUAAAUUAGGACGAUUUUCUGGGAAUUCCCUGUGUCGAAGUUUUGCGACUACGGACAAUUAUAAUAAUAUAAUUAUUGGCGGGGAAACACAAUCAUGUUAAUAGCGGAACACCAAGAUACAGUAUUUCAGCUUUGAAACCGAUAGACUAAAAUUGAUUUUAGAUUGUAAUUCACCUAUUUGCAUGUUUUGCCCGAAAAAUACAGUCGCCAGUGUUAGUAUAAAAUAUGAACUGAAACCUUAAAAUGUGUUUUAGAUAGAAUCGAAAAAAGGCAUUAAAAAUAAUGGCGAGGCAAUUGAGGUAAUACGCUAUUUUGCCCAAAAUGAUCUGGAGGAAUUGAUUAGGACAGUAUUGAGAAAAGUGGAUAAGGCGAGUCAAAAGAGAAAGAGAAAAUGUUUUAAUUGUAACGAAAUUGGAUAUUUCGCCCGGGAGUGUAACACUCCCUGCAAAAGAUGUCACCACCAAUAUUGUAAUUUAACUGAAGGGAAGGUCAGAGGCGACAAUCGGGUAAAGAAAAAUAAGGGUCAGAUACAAAGAGAGCGAGAUUAAUGAGAAUCCUAACUGAGGGAAAACUUUGGGCAUUUAAAUUAGGGCUAUUUUCUGUUGUCCAGAUGCCGGAGUAACAAAUACAGAUAGCUGUAAAAUGGGUCUAUUUGCGGAGAAUCUCAGUCAGUUCCAUACCAUUGGUGGUAUAGUGGUGAGCGUAGCAGUCUUACGAACUACAGUCCAGGGUUCGGUUCCCAGCCGAGGCAUUAACUAAAAAAAUAUAUUUAUCUGAUUUUUUGGUUGUAAUUAAACUAAUUGUUUUGCAGAGAAAGUUAUAGUCACUAGUUUGGUUCAAAUUGAAAGACUAAUUCAUUCAACUUAAAAUAAGAACGAAGCUAAUUUUGAUGCAAGACGAUGUCUGUUCACUAAAUGAUCUGUUGGGAAUAAUAUAUUGGGAAUAGAGUCGUAAUUAAAAUGUUAAAUCAAAAACGGGACAGUAACUUAAAUCAAAUGAAUUCUGAAUAAUAACGGAGAAACAAUUACGAUAGAUUUGUGCCCAUCGAAAUGUUCUUAUAAAAUUAGCGAAUUGGGAGGUGAGAGAUGUUGAUUGAUGUUGUAAACUAUAAUUCAGGAUUCAACAGAUGUGGUAAAUUAGGUUUGGUUUAUCGAACCCGAAAUACUGUUGCUGCAGACAGCCAACAAUUAUUUACAACUCAUUGAAAAUCGUUGCGAAUUGAGUCAAGGUUGAGCGCUUGUUGAUGACGUCACUCGCAAAGCACUUUUGGUCGCCACAGAAAUUACGUUGGGACUUGAGAGUAACGGAGAAAAUUGUUUGUCUGUUAGAAGGAAAAUGGGUGCAUUAGUUUCGAGUUACUUUUCAGAAGUUGAUAAAAAUUACAAAAUACAUUUUUAACAGUAAUUUGAGAAGUCGCCAGGAUAGUCAGGAAAGAUGCUAAAAACUAGCAGCUGAUACGUUAGGUAGGCAUCAUAAGAUUUGUGGUGUUUGUUUGGAUUGAAUUAGGCUAUGGGAGAGAGAGACUGGAUGUCUGAAUCGUAAAACAUCGUGGUAAUGGAUUCCGAUGGUUGUGAUUCCAGGUUUGAUUGUUUAUGUAACACCAGUGAAUUUGAGCACUGUCUCCAAUGUGGGGAACCAUGUUAGGGUAUUUAAAGUUGAGAAGGGAAAUUAGAAGGGAAAUUAGCUAGGUUGAAUUUGGUUAUUCGAGCUUUUCCCCUGAUACGUAGACGCCCGUAACAGGGGCAAGUUUUUUUUCUUGAGGAACUAACAGAUGUAAACGUGAGUCUCUGAGUAAUUUUGCCAUCUGAAGCAUUAUAGUAGUGAGGUUUCGUAUAGUUUGUUUUUAGCUGAUAAAAGUGGUUUGUUUAUUUGUUUACUGGUUAUGGUGAAUUUUAGGGUUUGAUUUAACUUAGUUAAACAUUGUAUUCUGGCGUGUUUAGGUAGGAUUCUUUGUUCCGGGACGGAUGGGAGUUACCUAAAAUAAGUAAAUUAAAGGAGCCAUGGGAGAAUGCGAAUACAUAUUUAUUAAAUAUCGGGGAUUAAAUUAUGGAUUUCUUACACUGAGAAAUGUACGACAUUUGAGGCAGAGGGGAAAAGUAAUACAUUGGAUAAUAAUGGUAUCAGGUUUAAUUGUAUCUAAGGGUAGCAUGUUCAUUUAAGUAAACACAUACGUAGACAAUGUUUAAAAAACUUAUGAUUAAUGAUUUGAGUCAAAGGGGAAUUAUAAUUAGGUUUUUAGUUAUAGUUCACUUAAUUGAGUUUCUGAAUCGAAGUAGCAUAGUGAAUGCUAGUUAGGCGUGUUGUGUCUCUCUUUUAGAAGUCUCCUGGGAUUAUAAUUUUGGGGAGAGUGGGGGAGAGAGCGGCCAUAAACGACCAAAUUGAAAAAGGUCUGCAAAUAUAUACACAUAAAACAAUUGUUAGAACUAUUUGUUUUAGUACAAAGGUAUUUUAAAGAGGACGCUCACAUAUGGAACCUUAUGAGUUUUUAUUUUAUGGGUUUUAAUUACACAGGUGAUUAUUUUAAUUUUAAGGAUAAAGGGUUCUUUAUGUCUAAUAUGGUAUGACCUUUUGACCUUAUCGUGGCUAUCUUUUGGGGUCUGAUCAGCCCCGGGGGAGAGCCAUUUGUAUAAUAAAUUGUGGUCAGUUGGGUUACUAAUUUUAAGGUAAAUUCGUUAUAAUGGAAUGCUAGUUUGGGGUUAGAAUUAUUGGUUGAAUCACUGAAGCUGAUUUACAAUAUUAGCUGGGAAGUUUUUGAAUUGGCUAUUAUGGAUUUGAUAUUACAACAGAAAAUAGUUCUCUUUAUCAUAGAGAAUAAAUAGGGGUGAUAAAUUACUGUAGAUAAGGUAUUCCAUGUUAUUGUCAGAUAGAACACUGCGGAUCCCUGAAGUAGAGAGCUGGUAAAGUGUAGGAAGAAUUUCGAUAUGGUUAGCAUUUGUUCAGGCUCUGGUUAACCAUUAGGAGGUAUUUUAAAUUGUAUUAAAUUUGACAGGAAUAUAGGACAUCUGUGGUGAUUUAGGAUUAUUGUAAGGAUUAAGAUAGAUUGAUUAAGGAAAUGUAAGGACUUUAGAGAUGGCCACUUACAGACAUGUUUUUUUCUCUCUCUAAAAUCAAGGAUUUGAUUUUAAACAGUGAGACGCUUAGUGGCAUUUUGAGAGAUAGCAGAGAAAGGAAUUACUGUUUAAAAUCGGUAAAUAUAUAUAUUUAAGAACAUACAUAAAUAACACAGAAACGUCUUAAACUAGAUAAGCCACUGGACAGAGAAUUGAUACAGGAUUGGGAUGAAUGGAUGCCCAAGAGAGAAUUGGACAUACAUGAUAAUGUCAGAAAAUAAGGAUAAUUUACUAAUCCUACCUAAGUCAUUAUUUAGGUUAUAUAAGGUUGAUACCUGGGCAGAGCCAGGUAUCAAAAGGGGGGUGGGUAAGUUAGUGGCCUAUUGGAUAAGAAACUAAUAAUAAAAAAUAAAUAAAAACAUUUUUAUCUAUCAGAUAAAACAAAACAUAUGAGAAACUGUUUGUUAACCAAGCCUGUAUGCCCAGGAUUUUAUGCAUUACAGGUGAACUACAGGUGAAGUCACUCAAUCCAGUCCCAGAGGCUUGUUGGGGGGACCAUACCAAGGACUCCUGGUGACAGCUAGCUGAAAGAGCUACCCGGAUUCAUAUCGCACGGCGUGAGGAAGUGAAGAUAUGUCUGGCUCUUGCUAAGUGAUGUGUUCUCGGGGAGAGGGUGGGGCUUCACAUGGAAGCUGUUCGUCUGAGCUGUCUUAUCGUGGGUGACAUAUUCCUGAUACAGCACGUCCUACUUGAGUAUGCGGAGAGUGGUAAUUUGACCCAUGGUUUAGACGAUGAGGAUUUUGUUCCAAAAUAAGCAUAAGAGAUCCCUAGAUCUGGGUAGACAGGAAGUUAGAGUAGAGGUUGGGAAGGAUCUCUCAAUGGAGUUUUAUUAGACCAAAAUGGAGUCUCUAACUACAUGGCAGUCUAGGACUCUGAGCCAUUAUGGCAUAUAUUGGUGCAGGUUCCCAUAUUGAUCGUGGACACAGGUCAUAGCUCAUUUGGAGAGAGAGGGCUAUAUGAAUCCACUCACCCAGUAUGGAAGGAGGUGGAGUAUAGUGAAGGUGAGAGUUUUUGAUUGUAAUCCGGAGAGAGGGAUGCAUUGCAUAAAGAUACACCGAAACCUUUAAACAGUAAUGAAGGAGAAUCUAGGGUUGUGGUAUGAUGGAUAUGACCAGUUCUUGGUCGACACCCUAGUACGGUUCUGGGUAGAGGUAUGGUAAAGCUGUUCACGAAAGCAGGAAUGCCAGAUAAUGACAGUUGUAUUGAUUUGCACUAUUUAAAUCCCCAGGUUCGUCCCUUCACAGUGACCGGAGGAGAUUAUUACCGUUUGGCCCGGUACAGUACUCUUGGGAAAUUAUGUCAGGGCGAGGUUUUCCCGACAGAUUGGACAGGAUUAUGCUCCAUUGUAAUGCCUUUCACACUCAUUAAACACCAAGACAUGAAGUAUCGCCAAAUGGGAGAAAAGAGCUAUUCCAUCCGGGUCUCUUAUUGACUAAGUAUACAUUGAUAACAUUGGGGUUCCAAGGGGGGUGCCAGAUGAGUCAAAGCAUGAAAUCACAUCCUAGCAGGAUUAGAGUUAAGCAUUUCCGGGGGGUCUACUCUCAAUAAGAACAUGGACUGGAUUAAUUAUAUUUAUGAUAAUCAACAGCGCUUUAACAAGUAUACCAGAGAUGCUAUUAAAGGUUUUGCAGAACAGACUGAAGCAACCAGCUGGAUGGCUUGGCAGAAUAGAAUUGCAUUAGAUAUGUUAAUGGCUGAAAAGGGAGAAGUACGCGUGAUUAUCGGGACCAUGUUUGUGCUUACAUCCCAAAUAACACAGCUCCGGACGAAUCAGUGCCCGAAGCCUCAGCUGGUUUAACCACCCUGGCUCACGGUUUGGCAGAAAACUCUGGGGUGGAUACUUCUCUGACUAAUUGUUUUGAUAAGUAUGUUCGGAAAAUGGGAAAAAAUAUUAUGAUCAUUGUAUUAUGGGCUACAUUCACCUGUGUGACUGUUUUAGUUUUAUGGGGCUGUUGUCUAAUUCCCUGUGUAUGAGGCCUUAUUUCCAGGAAAUCGAUGGCAAUAGAUGGUGAGGUACCAGCGGAUUCCAGGUUCUGACCCGUGGAGGACUGAAUGCAUGUCUACAGAACAAGUGGAUGAAUCUGGAUCUUUUAUUUGUGGGGAAUUUAUGUUUGAUAAGACCAUUUUUGAUGUUUAGGCAGGCUAGGUUGUAUCCCAUCUCAAUAUUAGACUGUUUUUUAAUAAAGAUUGUAACGAAAAUCCUGAUAAGAAGAGUUAUGAUUCUGAUGUAGGCCUGAGAAACAGUUAUGGCGAAUGCAAGUGUUGGGUUAUGUUUAGGUGAUGUUUUGAUGACACGAAAUAUCUCUAAUAAAAAUAGAAAUGGGCUUUUCAAUAUUACAAUAUAACUACAAUGUGUGUUUGAAUGUAUAAUAUUUAAUCAAAGGGUGGAUAUGUUAAGGGAAUUUUUAUCAAUGAUGACUAAUUAUGUAUACAUUUCAAUCAGGACUGACUAGUCCAAAUGCUAUUAUGUACUGUACAUAUAUGAAUUUUCUCUCUUGCUCCCAUUCCCAAUUGUAUAUAAUAUAGUCAGGAGUUUAGAACAGUGCCUUGGUACAAAUGGAUGAACUAUCUCCAGAUGGCAGAGACGGACUAUCUCUAGACUGUCUAGAAUGCUAUCUACACGGACUGACCUUGGCUACAGGCGAGGAGGGAAGGCUCGAGAACUAUAGGGCCUCACUACCGGUGUCAUGAAGAGAUAGAACAUUAGAAAACACUGACGUCAUUUUCAGUUUAUAACCUGUGGUAAAAUGUGUAUAUACGAGUACUCUCUUGAAUUAAACACUGUUACCUGAC